UGGGGAAUUUUGGACAAUGGGCGCAAGCCUGAUCCAGCCAUGCCGCGUGCGGGAAGAAGGCCUUCGGGUUGUAAACCGCUUUUGUCAGGGAAGAAAUCUUCUGAGUUAAUACCUCGGGAGGAUGACGGUACCUGAAGAAUAAGCACCGGCUAACUACGUGCCAGCAGCCGCGGUAAUACGUAGGGUGCAAGCGUUAAUCGGAAUUACUGGGCGUAAAGCGUGCGCAGGCGGUUUUGUAAGACAGAGGUGAAAUCCCCGGGCUCAACCUGGGAACUGCCUUUGUGACUGCAAGGCUUGAGUGCGGCAGAGGGGGAUGGAAUUCCGCGUGUAGCAGUGAAAUGCGUAGAUAUGCGGAGGAACACCGAUGGCGAAGGCAAUUCCCUGGCCUGCACUGACGCUCAUGCACGAAAGCGUGGGGAGCAAACAGGAUUAGAUACCCUGGUAGUCCACGCCCUAAACGAUGUCAACUGGUUGUUGGGAAGGUUCCUUCUCAGUAACGUAGCUAACGCGUGAAGUUGACCGCCUGGGGAGUACGGCCGUAAGGUUGAAACUCAAAUGAAUUGACGGGGUCAUAGCUGUUU
rnacentral:rRNA from 1 species